rnacentral:sRNA from 1 species
UACCACAUGUGUGCCUGGUGUCCUCAGAGAUCAGAAAUGGGCGUUGGGUCCCCUGGAACUGGAGUCACACCUUGUAAGCCAUGUGCGGGAUAGAACCUGGGUUCUCCGGAGGAGCGGCCAGUGCUCUUCCCAGCUGAGCCACUUCUCCAGCCAGAAUAAAAAUGAUUUGACAUCAGCUACUUGAAAAUAAACUCUCUCUUAGCAGGGUGAUGGAGCACGCCUUUAAUCCCAGCAUUCAGAGGCAGGGCAGAACCUCUGAGUUUGAGGCCAGCCUGCUCUACAUGUAGAGUGAGCCCCAGGACAGUCUCGGCUACACGGGGAAACCCUAUUUUGAAGGGGAAAGAAAACAAACUUGAGAUACAGUCUCACACUGAAGACUAGGUUGGCCAUGCUGGAGCAAUCCUCCUGCCUCUGCCUUUACUGAGCUAAGAUUAGUGUUAUCCCAACCUGCCCGCUUAAAACAGCUCCUUUAAAUGCAGGUUUUCCUGCAUUUAACUAGAACACUUCCGCUUUGCAUAUUUAUCACAUCCAAAAUAAGGCGGGGGAGGGGAACUCAGGAGAGAAAGAUGGCUGGGUGUGGCAGUGGGGGUGGGGGGCACUUGCCUGGAACUAGUGAGGCCCUGGGUUCAGCAGCUGGGAGGGUGGGGGAAGAGGAACAAACCUAACCGAGCCACACUUAAUCCAGCCACACUUAAUCGUGUGAAGUCAGGACGCAGCCAGUGCUGUUUGUCUCUAAAUCAGCUCCCUUCUCCCCAUGGGCUCUGAAUCUCUCACUCCCCACUCUGGCAGAGGCAGAGGUGUGGGAUCUUUCAUGUUUUCAACCAGGUGUGACAUCAGUGCUGUGGCAGACUGGGGUGCGGGGUGGGAGGGCUCUGGCAAACUUGGAACUCCUGCCCCAUCUAAGUUGUGUCGUGUCUCUUGGUUCCCAGCAGAUUUCCCUCCAUGUUGGAAAGCCUUGUUUUUCAGUAAAACUUCCGUUGUUGCUGGUGAGAUGGCUCAGUGGCUAAGGUGCUCGCUGCCAAGUCUAGCGACUGGAGUUUGAGCCCAACCACCCGUAAAGCAGAAAGCCAAUGCCUGCACGUUGUCCUCCAACCUCCCCGUGCCCACUGCAUAGAGUAUAUGCAGACAGACAGACAACAGUGCUGAUACCUAGUAAGUCACAACAAACGCAUGUGCUAACCCUGCAUCUGCAGCUGAAUUAAGACGCAUGCCCUGUUACUGUGCACCUGCAGAAGGACAAAUUCCUUGAGCCAGCUGAGUACGUCACAGGCUGGAGACACAGCCCCAGACACUCCUCUCACAAGGUGAAGGCAGAAAACAGAUGGAGCAUCAAGGAGGGAGGGCUGGGAACAGAAUGAACAACGGGAGGAGAGCUGAAGCGGCCUCAGGGCUGGUCUGUCUUUGAGCCCCAAGGCUCUGGAGGCUCAAACAGGACAUUUGAGUUGUUAGAGCCCCGGUUGGGCUACACCAGGGACCUUAUCUCAGUGACAAAAGCAAAAACCUAAGCCAACCAACCAAGCAAAACCCAAAAUCAAAACCAACCGGGAAACAAUUAACAAAGACAGACAAUACUUCAGUAAUCAGAGUGCGGGGCUUGCGGCAUGGAAGCAGUCAGGAACCCAAGGCCACCCACCCAUCCACAGCUACACAGGGACAUACAAGGCCUUGUUUCCAAAACACUGAACCUCUCAUGUGCUCCUUCACCCGCAAAGUAACUACCUGGAGAUCCCUUACAGACAGACAGCCCAGGCCCUACAGAAAUCCUGCUACUCUCUCAGUGGACCUGCCCCAGCUAGGGACCUGCCCCAGCCAAGGACACCCAUCAUUAUCUUCAGAUCCCACUCAGGAACUUACAAAUGCAAAAAAACCUGAGACAGAAGAAGCCAGGUCUUUACGAGACCAGUAACUUCCAGGUUCCUCCUGGCACCUCGGGGUACCAGUGUGUGGCUCCUUAGGCCACUUGCGGAGGCCUAGGGACACCCUGUCUCCCCAUCCCUCCAGCCACAUCUCACAAAGCAUCUGUGUUGUGUCCUUAGGCAGAAAGUUGCUUUAUAGUUCGGUUUGAGAAAUAAAUCCAUUGAAGCAGGAGGUUUUGGCAAAAAUCUCAAUAAACGCCGUUAGGAUUAGUCUUACACUGAACUGUUUAUUUCAGAACGACCAAUAGUGGAAGCUCGUGUAACAUGUCCAGGGGAAUUCCAGACCACAAAGCCGAGAAGGCCCCCAAGCUGCUUACAUGCCUGCUCAUGGGAAACCCUUCGGAGAAAACCCAAAUCUGCAUAAUUUGCCUUGGCCUACGACUCCCUCUGAAUGCUCGCUCUAAAUUCUCAGAAGCACUGAGAGGCACAAAGGCACCUCUGUUCUCCCACCCAGCUAAUCAGUUUCCAGCCACUGGGAAAGAAACACGCUGGCAGCAGGCCAGGGUGCAGGGUGUGAGUGUAAAGUGUAAAGGUGACCGUCCAGGAGGGCCCAGCUGGAGGCCAAGGUCACUUCCAGAGGCCAUGGGAGUCCCAGAGACCCACAGCGGAGCUGACCAAGGCCAGACAGGACACCCCAUGGAGAACUCUAUCCCUCAGCCAACUAUCUUUGCCCGCUGCCCUUGACAGGAAUCCACCCAGAAGCUUCUAAACUUCUAAGCAGCCAAACGUGUAUCUCGCACACAGACUCCCAGCUCUCCUAACAGCACACUCGGAUGAGGUGAGCCAGGGUCCAUUGUGAUGACCAGCAGUGAUGCCCACAGUGAAAAGCAGCAACCUUGGGACACAAAAACUUCAGCACAGUACGGAGCAGUCCCAGGCAGGAAGGCAUAGCAAACACUAGUACAGGUCCUCAGCGGGCUCUAGAGCUUGUCCCGUUGCAGGUUCAGAGGAAGACAGGAUAGCUAGGCCUGGUGGCAUGGGCUUGUACGGGCAACUACACGGAGGCUGUGGCAGGAGGACUGGCCCCAGGCCAGGCCAGACAUGCUCACCUAUAACCCAGCACUGGGGGCAGACGUAAGGAUCAGGAGCCAACUUGUUGCACAGCGAGGUUAAGGCUAGCUCCUGUCUUUAAAAAAAUAAAUAAAGCAGGGUGCGGUGAGGGUGGCAUUGAGUGUUGUUCAACCGUAGGGCACUGACCUAGCGGGCAUGAAGCCCUAGGUUCCAGCCCUGGUAACAAGAGUGCGGUGGUAUUCACAACACUCAUAGCUGAGGCGUUGGAGGUGGACACAGAUGACCGUGAGUUCAGAUCAGCCUGGGCUACACAGCAAGCCGUGGUCUGGUUUUGCAGGGCACUCAGUGUCACCUUCACAACCAACCUUGGGUUGAGAGGGAUAAGAAAUGUUUUUAAGGGCGGGUUACAAAACGUCCUGCCUGUCCGCCAGCCAGUCUCUUUCUAACGCACAAUGAUGAAUCGAAAAUUAUCCAGCAACUUGGAAAGGAUUAAAUACCACUUUAGCCCAUGUUCAAGUGACAUGGACCCCUUCUUCCCCAUGGAAGAAGCAACCACUCACUACUUUUCAACCAUGCCUGAGACUGCGCCCUGCCAGUGUGAAACGGGAGGGUACCUGCUUUCGGAGAGCUGCAGUCCUACAAGGACGGCAUAAGGAACGCUAGUCAGCGUCAGCAGCGUAGGGAGACCCGACGAGGCUGGCAGGGGGAGACAGGACUUCACUGUGGGAAUGAGGUGUCCCCAGAGAUGAGAAGAGCAGUAGUAGGUAGCAGGAUUGGGAGGGGAAGAAGGUUUUCUGGAUGCAUAAAGUGUGUGCGUAUUUGGGGAAGGGAGUAGGUGAAGAGGUCUGAUACACGGAGAAGGAAGGGGGUGUACUGGGGGUGCAAACAGGGCUCCUGAGAAGCGCUGUGGCCUAAGGACUUCGGCCUUGGGUUGUGAGCCCAGUCAUCAUGGUAACCUUACCUGGGUUUUCUAGAAAGCUCCCUGAUGCAUGCCUGAAGACUGACCUCUGUGGGCACUGAGGAUGUGACCGCCUGGGGCGGAGUCAGCGUGUAGGAAACACGAGGGAAACAACUCAGCUGUGUGUGCUAUGACUUGGUGACUGAAAAAAGGUUGGCUCAGAGGUAGGAGCACGGCUUCUGUCAGCAGCGAUGGGGAUCAUUUUGUGACCCAUAGCUCUAGUUUCCAGAGUAAAGUUUUUAUGGCAGUGUCUAUACUUGUAUUUGUAUUCAGAGGCUGGCCCUGAACUCACUUCCGCCCGGGAUUACAGGUUUGUACCACUCACUCUUCCUGCCUCCUUUGAGAAGUAAGGGAUGUGUAUCCCUUGGACUGAAUUAAAAUUAAACCCUGGCUCAGUAAAAUGUAACCUUAAAAUGUAGCUACAAAGUCAUGUCCAGUGCCAGGUCAAGGUCUAAGAGCUGAUUUUCUGCCAGUUUCAGGUGUGUGAGUCACAGAGGCCAUGUCCUGAACGAGACCCAGCAGAGUGGGAGGCCCUGCCAGCACUGUUCACCCCAGGACACACAAUUCGUCUGACACAAUCUGAGUACAGGUACAGUCAGCUAGGGGAGAGGGCCUGCGCUCUAACAUGUCCUGGGUCCCAGACUAAGAGAUCUGUCUGGAAACACAUUACCCUGACUCUGUUCUACGGGAACAUUCUACAGGAAUGACCUAAUGGGUCUGAGUUGACAGAGUCUCAUUAUGUAGCCCUAGUUGUCCUGGAACUCUCUAUGUAGACCAGGCUAUCCUAGAACUCAGAGAGACCCCCCUGCCUCUGCCUCCUGAGUGCUGGGAUUAAAGUGUGUGAGUAGUGCCACCAUAACUAACACACUCAUUUAUUGUAUGUGACUCUGUGUGUGUGUGUGUGUGUGUGUGUGUGCGCGCGCGCGCGCGCGCGAGUGCACACAUGUGUGCAUGGAUGUGGAGGUCAGGGGACAAACUGUGGGAAUCAGUUCUCUCCUUCUACCACGUGGGCUCCAGGAAUCAGACUUGGGCUGUCAGGCUUGAUGGCAACAUCAGUACCCACUGAGCCAUGUUGCUGGCCCACAGGGAAAUACUGGUGCUGGUGGGAGGUCCCCAUGCCACUGUCCCUGAUCUGGACAGGUUUUAAAGACAAACUUCAAUAUUUCUAACCUGUCUAGUACAUCGUCAUGAAACAGACAACAGAGGCCAGUGCUUGUCUCACCCUGGCCAGGCCACAGCAGGAGAAACUCAGCCCCGCAAAGGAGCUGGAAACCCUCUGUGAAAAUAAUUGUUCAGAUACCAGGGUUUUGUUUUGUUUUUCAUGAUAAUAGCCCAAGAAACAGGACAACAUUUUUCUUCUGACAGAAAAUCGUUAUAAAACAGAACUUUUCAAAGUGCAGAGUGUGAGACUGGCUGUCUAGGCGUCAGCUCUGAGUAUCCACACUCAGGCAUCAGUCCUCACCCCAGAAACUUCAGUCAGAAGCACAUCAGAUUCUAAACGACCAUGGCUUUUAAACGUUAAUGGCUUUGGUUACGUGUUUAAAAAAAAAAUCACGAGGGGAUGAGGGUACAGCUCAGGCCACGGUGUCUGUCUGGCACCAUGACGCCGUAGUUUCAAAACCAAAGAGCACCACAAAACAGAAAAGACAAAACUAAUGGCUAAAAACACAACCUGCGGCCUUGGUUUAAUCCCGGCACACAGGAAGCGGAGGCAGGAACGCCUCCGAGUUCAAGGCCAGCCUGGUCUAUGUAGCAAGUUAGCAAGUUCCAGGCCAGCCAGGCUGUGGAGUGAGACCCUGAGUCCAAACAAGAAAAAGACAACAACGAACCAGAAACCAGAACCCGUGGUUUAACCAGGCCCUCUGCUGGCUUCUCCAGGCCACUGACAGAAACAGCCUCCUGCCUGAGCCUCUGCUUGCUUUAAGAAAAUGCUCAAUCAGAAGUAGAACGGUGUGUGCUAUCUUCCAUGCUAGGACCUGGUGGUCAACAGCACGUGUGGACCAGAGAGCCCAGACCCACACAACAUAUGACCAAGCUGCAGGAAAACUGGUCAGGAGGGUCCCAACACAGAGACAGAGCAGGGCAGAGGGAGGGAGGCACUGAGUCAGGCAGGGUGUGAAGGGGUGGGGGGCUCAGUGUUGGAAGGUCUGGCCUAUCUGUUUACACCAGGACUCUAUUAGCUGGAGUGGAAGGCGGCACACGAAGUUUCAAGUGACAGCUGAGGAGAGAGAGGACUUUGUAAUUCUCGAUAAAGCCAUAAUAUAUUCCCGAUAUGUAUGCAUGUUACAGUCAUGCACACACUUUGUGUCGUGUGUGUCGUGGAGCAUGUGGUGUGGAGGCCAGAAGACAACUUACGGGAGCUGGCUUCCCUCUCCCACCUUGUUGGCCUGGGCACCACACUGACGUCACCAGUCUUGGUGGUCCGUACCAUGACCUCCUGAGCCAGCUCAUUAGCUCUCAAGUACACUUGAGGAUGACUGGGAACUCUGUCAUCCAGGGUAGCCAUGACCUAACUCUCCACCCCCCAUCUCCUGCCAGCUCCUGAGUGCUAUGAUUACAAGGGGCACACAACACACAAAUACGUAUACAAUAACAUAUACUUAUAUUACAUCUAUUCUGUGCAUGCACACAUUCCACAGCACACUAAGGAGGUAAGAGAGGAGACUUCAGAAAUCAGUUCUUUCCACCAUGUGUAUCCUGGGGAUAGAAGAACCCUGGUUGUCAAGCUUUCCAGCCCCAAAGUCUUAUUUUUAAACACUAAAAAUCUGCCAGGCGUGGUGGUGCAAGUCUUUAAUUUCAGCAUCUGGGAGAUGGUGCCAUGGCAUAGAAGCCCCUUUCCCCUCACCAUUCCCCAGGUGUGACCUGCUCUCCAGUUCUCACCAUUCCCCAGGUGUGACCUGCUCUCCAGUUCUUACCAUUCCCCAGGUGUGACCUGCUCCCCAGUUCUCACCAUUCCCCAGGAGUGACCUGCUCUCCAGUUCUCACCAUUCCCCAGGUGUAACCUGCUCUCCAGUCCUCACCAUUCCCCAGGUGUGAUCUUCUCUCCAGUUCUCACCAUUCCCCAGGAGUGACCUGCUCCCCAGUUCUCACCAUUCCCCAGGUGUAACCUGCUCUCCAGUCCUCACCAUUCCCCAGGUGUGACCUGCUCCCCAGUUCUCACCAUUCCCCAGGUGUGACCUGCUCUCCCCACCAUCCCCCAGGUGUGACCUGCUCCCCAGUUCUCACCAUUCCCCAGGAGUGGCCUGCUCUCCAGUUCUCACCAUUCCCCAGGUGUGACCUGCUCUCCAGUUCUCACCAUUCCCCAGGUGUGACCUGCUCCCCAGUUCUCACCAUUCCCCAGGUGUGACCUGCUCUCCCCACCAUUCCCCAGGUGUGACCUGCUCCCCAGUUCUCACCAUUCCCCAGGAGUGGCCUGCUCUCCAGUUCUCACCAUUCCCCAGGUGUGACCUGCUCCCCAGUUCUCACCAUUCCCCAGGUGGGCCUGCUCUCCAGUUCUCACCAUUCCCCAGGAGUGGCCUGCUCUCCAGUUCUCACCAUUCCCCAGGAGUGACCUGCUCUCCAGUUCUCACCAUUCCCCAGGUGUGACCUGCUCUCCAGUUCUCACCAUUCCCCAGGUGUAGCCUGCUCUCCAGUCCUCACCAUUCCCCAGGUGUGAUCUUCUCUCCAGUUCUCACCAUUCCCCAGGAGUGACCUGCUCUCCAGUCCUCACCAUUCCCCAGGUGUGAUCUUCUCUCCAGUUCUCACUAUUCCCCAGGAGUGACCUGCUCUCCAGUUCUCACCAUUCCCCAGGUGUGAUCUGCUCUCCAGUUCUCACCAUUCCCUAGGUGUGACCUGCUCUCCAGUCCUCACCAUUCCCCAGGUGUGACCUGCUCUCCAGUUCUCACCAUUCCCCAGGUGUGACCUGCUCCCCAGUUCUCACCAUUCCCCAGGUGUGACCUGCUCUCCCCACCAUCCCCCAGGUGUGACCUGCUCCCCAGUUCUCACCAUUCCCCAGGAGUGGCCUGCUCUCCAGUUCUCACCAUUCCCCAGGUGUGACCUGCUCUCCAGUUCUCACCAUUCCCCAGGUGUGACCUGCUCCCCAGUUCUCACCAUUCCCCAGGAGUGGCCUGCUCUCCAGUUCUCACCAUUCCCCAGGUGUGACCUGCUCCCCAGUUCUCACCAUUCCCCAGGUGGGCCUGCUCUCCAGUUCUCACCAUUCCCCAGGAGUGGCCUGCUCUCCAGUUCUCACCAUUCCCCAGGAGUGGCCUGCUCUCCAGUUCUCACCAUUCCCCAGGAGUGACCUGCUCUCCAGUUCUCACCAUUCCCCAGGUGUAACCUGCUCUCCAGUCCUCACCAUUCCCCAGGUGUGAUCUUCUCUCCAGUUCUCACCAUUCCCCAGGAGUGACCUGCUCUCCAGUCCUCACCAUUCCCCAGGUGUGAUCUUCUCUCCAGUUCUCACUAUUCCCCAGGAGUGACCUGCUCUCCAGUUCUCACCAUUCCCCAGGUGUGACCUGCUCUCCAGUUCUCACCAUUCCCUAGGUGUGACCUGCUCUCCAGUCCUCACCAUUCCCCAGGUGUGACCUGCUCUCCAGUUCUCACCAUUCCCCAGGUGUGACCUGCUCCCCAGUUCUCACCAUUCCCCAGGUGUGACCUGCUCUCCCCACCAUCCCCCAGGUGUGACCUGCUCCCCAGUUCUCACCAUUCCCCAGGAGUGGCCUGCUCUCCAGUUCUCACCAUUCCCCAGGUGUGACCUGCUCUCCAGUUCUCACCAUUCCCCAGGUGUGACCUGCUCCCCAGUUCUCACCAUUCCCCAGGAGUGACCUGCUCUCCAGUUCUCACCAUUCCC